UGAUUACUUCGGUUUGAUUUUCCUGACGAUGAGCGGCGAACGGGUGCGUAACACGUGAGAAACCUGCCUUGAAGUUCGGGAUAGCUCGGCGAAAGUCGAAUUAAUACCGGAUGUGGCCUGGGGAUAGCAUUUUCCCUUGGUUAAAGCUCGGUCACAGAGCGCUUUUAGAUGGUCUCGCGGUCUAUCAGCUUGUUGGUGAGGUAACGGCUCACCAAGGCUACGACGGAUAACUGAUCUGAGAGGAUGAUCAGUCACACUGGAACUGAGACACGGUCCAGACACCUACGGGUGGCAGCAGUCGAGAAUCAUUCACAAUGGGCGCAAGCCUGAUGGUGCGACGCCGCGUGGGGGAUGAAGGGCUUCGGUCUGUAAACCCCUGUCAUCUGUGAGUAAGGUCUCGUAUAAAAGCUACGAGGAUUGAUAUUAGCAGAAGAGGAAGGGACGGCUAACUCUGUGCCAGCAGCCGCGGUAAUACAGAGGUCCCAAGCGUUGUUCGGAUUUACUGGGCGUAAAGGGUGCGUAGGCGGUUAGAAAAGUUUGGUGUGAAAUCUUCGGGCUCAACCCGGAAACUGCACUGAAAACUAUUUAACUAGAGGAUCGGAGAGGAGAUUGGAAUUCUCAGUGUAGCAGUGAAAUGCGUAGAUAUUGAG
rnacentral:rRNA from 1 species